CAGUAGCCGCGGUAAUACGUAGGUCCCGAGCGUUGUCCGGAUUUAUUGGGCGUAAAGCGAGCGCAGGCGGUUAGAUAAGUCUGAAGUUAAAGGCUGUGGCUUAACCAUAGUACGCUUUGGAAACUGUUUAACUUGAGUGCAAGAGGGGAGAGUGGAAUUCCAUGUGUAGCGGUGAAAUGCGUAGAUAUAUGGAGGAACACCGGUGGCGAAAGCGGCUCUCUGGCUUGUAACUGACGCUGAGGCUCGAAAGCGUGGGGAACAAACAGGAUUAGAUACCCCUGUAGUCCCUGUCUCUUAUACA
rnacentral:rRNA from 1 species